CUUUUAGUUUACCUGGAGGAUCAGACCAUUUCACGCCAUUUCAGGACCUUCACCAAGAAAGUGAAACGACUCUACUCUACAGGAAAUAAGUCAUCCAGAUUUCUCUACUUUAUUCAUCUUUUUCAACUAUGGCGAAGAAAAGGAAAAUGCUGGAAGGUCAAAAAAAACUUACC